rnacentral:rRNA from 1 species
GAUGAACGCUGGCGGCGUGCUUAACACAUGCAAGUCGAACGGAAAGGCCCAAGCUUGCUUGGGUACUCGAGUGGCGAACGGGUGAGUAACACGUGGGUGAUCUGCCCUGCACUUCGGGAUAAGCCUGGGAAACUGGGUCUAAUACCGGAUAGGACCACUUCUUGGAUGUUGUGGUGGAAAGUUUUUUCGGUGUGGGAUGAGCUCGCGGCCUAUCAGCUUGUUGGUGGGGUAAUGGCCUACCAAGGCGUCGACGGGUAGCCGGCCUGAGAGGGUGUACGGCCGCAUUGGGACUGAGAUACGGCCCAGACUCCUACGGGAGGCAGCAGUGGGGAAUAUUGCACAAUGGGCGCAAGCCUGAUGCAGCGACGCCGCGUGGGGGAUGACGGCCUUCGGGUUGUAAACUCCUUUCGCUAGGGACGAAGCGUUUUGUGACGGUACCUGGAGAAGAAGCACCGGCUAACUACGUG